AAACCUUCAAGCAUAGCUUGGUGUUGGGUGCUUGUCCUCCCCCGCGGUGGACUCACCUCAAAUGCAUUGGCGGCCGGUAUGUUGGCUUCGAGCGCAGUACAACGCGCCUGGUGUCUAGACGUGCUGGUCCUCCACAAGACCUUCUUUAA
rnacentral:misc_RNA from 1 species